AGCUCCAAUAGCGUAUAUUAAUGUUGUUGCAGUUAAAAAGCUCGUAGUUGAAGAUGAGAGAGUAGUUAAUUCGACUCUCUUCCGGAAGAUUUCUUCCAGUUACUUUGAAAAAAUUAGAGUGUUCAACGCAGGUUUCGCCUGAAUAUAUUAGCAUGGAAUAACAUAACACGACGAGGGUCCAUUUUGUUGGCUUGCAAACCCACGUAAUGAUUAAUAGGGACAGUCGGGGGCGUCAGUAUUGUGUUGUCAGAGGUGAAAUUCUUGGAUUUACACAAGACUAACUACUGCGAAGGCAUUCGCCAAGGAUGUAUUCA
rnacentral:rRNA from 1 species